rnacentral:rRNA from 1 species
UACGUAGGGUGCAAGCGUUACUCGGAAUUACUGGGCGUAAAGCGUGCGCAGGCGGUUUUGUAAGACAGGGGUGAAAUCCCCGGGCUUAACCUGGGAACUGCAUUUGUGACUGCAUAGCUAGAGUACGGUAGAGGGGGAUGGAAUUCCGCGUGUAGCAGUGAAAUGCGUAGAUAUGCGGAGGAACACCGAUGGCGAAGGCAAUCCCCUGGACCUGUACUGACGCUCAUGCACGAAAGCGUGGGGAGCAAACAGG